rnacentral:rRNA from 1 species
CCUACGGGAGGCAGCAGUGGGGAAUAUUGCACAAUGGGGGAAACCCUGAUGCAGCGACGCCGCGUGAGUGAAGAAGUAAUUCGUUAUGUAAAGCUCUAUCAGCAGGGAAGAAAAUGACGGUACCUGAGUCAGAAGCCCCGGCUAACUACGUGCAAGCAGCCGCGGGAAUACGUAGGGGGCCAGCGUUAUCCGGAUUUACUGGGUGUAAAGGGAGCGUAGACGGCAGUGCAAGUCUGGCGUGAAAGGGGGGGGCUCAACCCCCGGACUGCUCUGGAAACUGGACGGCUGGAGUGCAGGAGAGGUAAGUGGAAUUCCUGGUGUAGCGGUGAAAUGCGUAGAUAUUAGGAGGAACCCCGGUGGCGAAGGCAGCUUACUGGACUGUAACUGACGUUGAGGCUCGAAAGCGUGGGGAGCAAACAGGAUUAGAUACCCGAGUAGUC